rnacentral:rRNA from 1 species
AUACGUAGGGUGCGAGCGUUAAUCGGAAUUACUGGGCGUAAAGCGUGCGCAGGCGGUUUUGUAAGACAGCUGUGAAACUCCCCGGGCUUAACCGUGGGAACUGCGGUUGUGACUGCAAGACUAGAGUGCGGCAGAGGGGGUGGAAUUCCACGUGUAGCAGUGAAAUGCGUAGAGAUGUGGAGGAACACCGAUGGCGAAGGCAGCCCCCUGGGUUGACACUGACGCUCAUGCACGAAAGCGUGGGUAGC